GAUGAACGCUGGCGGCGUGCUUAACACAUGCAAGUCGAACGGAAAGGCCCAAGCUUGCUUGGGUUCUCGAGUGGCGAACGGGUGAGUAACACGUGGGUGAUCUGCCCUGCACUUCGGGAUAAGCCUGGGAAACUGGGUCUAAUACCGGAUAGGACCACAUGUUGGAGGGUGUGGUUGGAAGUUUUUCGGGGUGGGUUGAGCUCGCGGCCUAUCAGCUUGUUGUGGGGGUAAUGGCCUACCAAGGCGUCGGCGGGUAGACGGCCAGUGGGGCUGUGCGGCCAUCUUGGGUCUGAGAUACGGCCCAGACUCCGACGAUUGGCAGAUGUGGGGAAUAUUGAACAAUGGGUGCAGGCCGUAUGCAGAAGCGCCGCGUGGGGGAUAACGGCCUUAGGGUUGAAGAAUCCCAUCGCGAGGGACGAAGCGUUAUGUGACGGUACCUGGAGAAGAAGCACCGGCUAACUACGUG
rnacentral:rRNA from 1 species